UACGGAGGGGGCCAGCGUUGUUCGGAAUCAUUGGGCGUAAAGGGCGCGUAGGCGGCUUUGUAAGUCCGUUGUGAAAUCCCUCGGCUCAACCGAGGAACUGCGACGGAUACUGCUUGGCUUGAGUCCCGGAGAGGGUAGCGGAAUUCCCAGUGUAGCGGUGAAAUGCGUAGAUAUUGGGAGGAACAUCGGUGGCGAAGGCGGCUACCUGGACGGGUACUGGACGCUGAUGCGCGAAAGCUAGGGGAGCGAAACAGG
rnacentral:rRNA from 1 species